GUGCCAGCAGCCGCGGUAAUACGUAGGUGGCAAGCGUUGUCCGGAAUUAUUGGGCGUAAAGCGCGCGCAGGUGGGAUAAUAAGUCUUUUGUAAAAGUGCGGGGCUCAACCCCGUAAUGCGACGGAUACUGUUAUUCUUGAGUGCAGGAGAGGAAAGCGGAAUUCCCAGUGUAGCGGUGAAAUGCGUAGAUAUUGGGAGGAACACCAGUGGCGAAGGCGGCUUUCUGGACUGUGUCUGACACUGAGGCGCGAAAGCUAGGGGAGCGAACGGGAUUAGAUACCCCGGUAGUCCUAGCCGUAAACGAUGGGUACUAGGUGUAGGGGGUAUCGACCCCUCCUGUGCCGGAGUUAACGCAAUAAGUACCCCGCCUGGGGAGUACGGCCGCAAGGUUGAA
rnacentral:rRNA from 1 species